AUUGAACGCUGGCGGCAUGCCUUACACAUGCAAGUCGAACGGUAACAGGUCUUCGGAUGCUGACGAGUGGCGAACGGGUGAGUAAUACAUCGGAACGCGCCCGAUCGUGGGGGAUAACGAAGCGAAAGCUUUGCUAAUACCGCAUAAGAUCUACGGAUGAAAGCAGGGGACCGCAAGGCCUUGCGCGAACGGGGCGGCCGAUGGCAGAUUAGGUAGUUGGUGGGAUAAAAGCUUACCAAGCCGACGAUCUGUAGCUGGUCUGAGAGGACGACCAGCCACACUGGGACUGAGACACGGCCCAGACUCCUACGGGAGGCAGCAGUGGGGAAUUUUGGACAAUGGGCGAAAGCCUGAUCCAGCCAUGCCGCGUGCAGGAUGAAGGCCUUCGGGUUGUAAACUGCUUUUGUACGGAGCGAAACGGUCCUCUCUAAUACAGGGGGCUAAUGACGGUACCGUAAGAAUAAGCACCGGCUAACUACGUGCCAGCAGCCGCAGUAA
rnacentral:rRNA from 1 species